rnacentral:rRNA from 1 species
AACGAACGCUGGCGGCAGGCUUAACACAUGCAAGUCGAACGGAUCCUUCGGGAUUAGUGGCAGACGGGUGAGUAACGCGUGGGAACGUACCCUUUGCUACGGAAUAACUCAGGGAAACUUGAGCUAAUACCGUAUGUGCCCUACGGGGGAAAGAUUUAUCGGCAAAGGAUCGGCCCGCGUUAGAUUAGCUAGUUGGUGGGGUAAUGGCCUACCAAGGCGACGAUCCAUAGCUGGUCUGAGAGGAUGAUCAGCCACACUGGGACUGAGACACGGCCCAGACUCCUACGGGAGGCAGCAGUGGGGAAUAUUGGACAAUGGGCGCAAGCCUGAUCCAGCCAUGCCGCGUGAGUGAUGAAGGUCUUAGGAUUGUAAAGCUCUUUCACCGGUGAAGAUAAUGACGGUAGCCGGAGAAGAAGCCCCGGCUAACUUCGUG